rnacentral:rRNA from 1 species
AUUGAACGCUGGCGGCAUGCCUUACACAUGCAAGUCGAACGGCAGCACGGGAGCAAUCCUGGUGGCGAGUGGCGAACGGGUGAGUAAUAUAUCGGAACGUGCCCGGUCGUGGGGAUAACGUAGCGAAAGCUACGCUAAUACCGCAUACGGUCUACGGAUGAAAGCGGGGGAUCGCAAGACCUCGCGCGAUUGGAGCGGCCGAUAUCAGAUUAGGUAGUUGGUGAGGUAAAGGCUCACCAAGCCGACGAUCUGUAGCUGGUCUGAGAGGACGACCAGCCACACUGGGACUGAGACACGGCCCAGACUCCUACGGGAGGCAGCAGUGGGGAAUUUUGGACAAUGGGCGAAAGCCUGAUCCAGCAAUGCCGCGUGCAGGAAGAAGGCCUUC